UACAGAGGUCUCAAGCGUUGUUCGGAUUCAUUGGGCGUAAAGGGUGCGUAGGUGGCGCUGUAAGUCGGGUGUGAAAUUUCGGAGCUUAACUCCGAAACUGCAUUCGAUACUGCGGUGCUUGAGGACUGGAGAGGAGACUGGAAUUCAUGGUGUAGCAGUGAAAUGCGUAGAGAUCAUGAGGAAGACCAGUGGCGAAGGCGGGUCUCUGGGCAGUAACUGACGCUGAGGAGCGAAAGCGUGGGGAGCGAACAGG
rnacentral:rRNA from 1 species